CCCUCUCCCCUCUCCCAUUUUUGAGCUCUCCCCUCUCCGUCCGAGCUCUCCCUCUCCGAGCUCUCCCCCACCUCUCUUCCUGCUACAACCGCAUCUCCACCAUCGCCACCAUCAUUAUUGUCCGCCACCAUCGUUGUGGGUUUCUCCAUCACAACUGUUGCCGUUCGUCGGAGGUAAGGUUUCUUCCCACCCUUUUUUUUGGUUGAUCAGGCC
rnacentral:lncRNA from 1 species